rnacentral:sRNA from 2 species
AACUAAACCUGAUAGAAACGGAAAUACUUUUUUAGCUGUAGCUUUAAUUAGCUGACAAAGUGCUUAAAAAGAUUGAAGUGGAUAGCAGGACUGACA